UACGAAGGGGACUAGCGUUGUUCGGAUUUACUGGGCGUAAAGCGCGCGUAGGCGGAUCGCUAAGUCAGGGGUGAAAUCCCAGGGCUCAACCCUGGAACUGCCUUUGAUACUGACGAUCUGGAGAUCGGGAGAGGUUGGUGGAAUUCCGAGUGUAGAGGUGAAAUUCGUAGAUAUUCGGAGGAACACCAGAAGCGAAGGCGGCCAACUGGCCCGAUACUGACGCUGAGGCGCGAAAGCCAGGGGAGCAAACAGG
rnacentral:rRNA from 1 species